UGCAGAAUCCCGUGAACCAUCGAGUUUUUGAACGCAAGUUGCGCCCGAAGCCUUUUGGCCGAGGGCACGUCUGCCUGGGCGUCACGCAUCGCGUCGCCCCCAACAAAUAUCUGUUGGGGGCGGAUAUUGGUCUCCCGUGCYAUGGUGUGGUUGGCCAAAAUAAGAGUCCCUUCGAUGGACACACGAACUAGUGGUGGUCGUAAAAACCCUCGUUCUUUGUUCUGUGUUAGUCGCAAGGAAAAACUCUUCAAAUACCCCAACGCGUUGUCUUAGGAUGACGCUUCGACCG
rnacentral:misc_RNA from 1 species